rnacentral:rRNA from 1 species
AGCUCUAAUAGCGUAUAUUAAAGUUGUUGCAGUUAAAAAGCUCGUAGUUGGAUUUUGGGGACAUCAUAGGCAGUCCGCCUUUGCGGUGUGUACGGCCUGUGGGUUCUUUUCCUUUCCGUUGCGUUCGCGUGCUAUUAACUUAGUAUGCGACUGCGCACGGAAUCGUUUACUUUGAAAAAAUUAGAGUGUUCAAAGCAGGCUUUUACGGCCGUUGAAUAGUUCAGCAUGGGAUAAUAGAAUAGGACCUGUUUCUUAUUUUGUUGGUUUUCAAGAGAUAGGUAAUGAUUAAAAGGGAUAGUUGGGGACACUAGUAUUGUGACGUCAGAGGUGAAAUUCAUGGAUUGUCACAAGACUAACUUCUGCGAAAGCAUUUGUCAAGGAUGUUUUCAUUA